rnacentral:lncRNA from 1 species
AAAAUUCAAAGUAACAAGGUUUGACGGGGCAUGUAAUUUUGGAUUAUGGCAAAGGAGGGUAAAGGAUUUAUUGCCUCAACAAAUUUUAUAGAAGGUGUUGCAUGAGACGAAACCAAACGACAUGGAGGAGAUGUAUAGUUGACUUGUCUAUGUGUUUCAUAUGAGGAGAUGUAUCAUAUUCUGGACCUCGCAACUUCGAAGAAG